UACGAAGGGGGCUAGCGUUGUUCGGAAUUACUGGGCGUAAAGCGUGCGCAGGCGGUUAUGUAAGACAGUUGUGAAAUCCCCGGGCUCAACCUGGGAACUGCAUCUGUGACUGCAUAGCUAGAGUACGGUAGAGGGGGAUGGAAUUCCGCGUGUAGCAGUGAAAUGCGUAGAUAUGCGGAGGAACACCAGUGGCGAAGGCGGCUCGCUGGGACGUGAACUGACGCUGGAGACGCGAAAGCGUGGGGAGCAAACAGG
rnacentral:rRNA from 1 species